rnacentral:rRNA from 1 species
GUUGUAUGGUUAAGUGACUAAGCGUACAUGGUGGAUGCCUUGGCAGUCAGAGGCGAUGAAGGACGUACUAACCUGCGAUAAGCCGUGAGCAGUCGGUAAGAGACAUUACGACUCACGGAUUUCCGAAUGGGGAAACCCACUUAGCAUAAGCUAGGUAUCGCUGCGUGAAUACAUAGCGUAGCGAGGCGAACCGGGAGAACUGAAACAUCUAAGUACCCCGAGGAAAAGAAAUCAACCGAGAUUCCUCAGUAGCGGCGAGCGAACGGGGAUUAGCCCUUAAGCAUCUUGGAAGUUAGUGGAACGGUCCUGGAAAGGCCGGCGAUACAGGGUGAUAGCCCCGUACACGAAAACAACCUUGAUGUGAAAUCGAGUAGGGCGGGACACGUGACAUCCUGUCUGAAUAUGGGGGGACCAUCCUCCAAGGCUAAAUACUCCUGACUGACCGAUAGUGAACCAGUACCGUGAGGGAAAGGCGAAAAGAACCCCUGUGAGGGGAGUGAAAUAGAACCUGAAACCGUGUACGUACAAGCAGUGGGAGCCCUUCGGGGUGACUGCGUACCUUUUGUAUAAUGGGUCAGCGACUUACAUUUUGUAGCGAGGUUAACCGUAUAGGGGAGCCGUAGGGAAACCGAGUCUUAACUGGGCGUCUAGUUGCAAGGUGUAGACCCGAAACCGGGUGAUCUAGCCAUGGGCAGGUUGAAGGUUGAGUAACAUCAACUGGAGGACCGAACCCACUAACGUUGCAAAGUUAGGGGAUGACCUGUGGCUGGGGGUGAAAGGCCAAUCAAACUCGGAGAUAGCUGGUUCUCCCCGAAAGCUAUUUAGGUAGCGCCUCGGACGAAUACUACUGGGGUAGAGCACUGUUUGGGCUAGGGGGUCAUCCCGACUUACCAACCCCAUGCAAACUCCGAAUACCAGUAAGUAAUAUCCGGGAGACACACGGCGGGUGCUAACGUCCGUCGUGAAGAGGGAAACAACCCAGACCGCCGGCUAAGGUCCCAAAGUUCUGGUUAAGUGGGAAACGAUGUGGGAAGGCUCAGACAGCUAGGAUGUUGGCUUAGAAGCAGCCAUCAUUUAAAGAAAGCGUAAUAGCUCACUAGUCGAGUCGGCCUGCGCGGAAGAUGUAACGGGGCUCAAACCAGGCACCGAAGCCGCGGAUUCACGCUAAGCGUGAGUGGUAGGGGAGCGUUCUGUAAGUCUGCGAAGGUGUGUCGAGAGGCAUGCUGGAGAUAUCAGAAGUGCGAAUGCUGACGUAAGUAACGAUAAAGGGGGUGAAAAGCCUCCUCGCCGGAAGACCAAGGGUUCCUGUCCAACGUUAAUCGGGGCAGGGUGAGUCGACCCCUAAGGCGAGGCCGAAAGGCGUAGUCGAUGGGAAGCAGGUUAAUAUUCCUGCACGACUUGUAAUUGCGAUGGGGGACGGAGAAGGCUAGGUGGGCCAGGCGACGGUUGUCCUGGUGAAAGUGCGUAGGUGGUGUUUCUAGGCAAAUCCGGAGACACAACACUGAGACACGAGACGAACACACUACGGUGUGGAAGCCAUUGAUGCCCUGCUUCCAGGAAAAGCCUCUAAGCUUCAGAUUACAAGUCAUCGUACCCCAAACCGACACAGGUGGUCGGGUAGAGAAUACCAAGGCGCUUGAGAGAACUCGGGUGAAGGAACUAGGCAAAAUAGAACCGUAACUUCGGGAGAAGGUUCGCUCUUGACAGUGAAGUCCCUUGCGGAUGGAGCAGUUGGGAGUCGCAGUGACCAGAUGGCUGGGACUGUUUAUCAAAAACACAGCACUCUGCAAACACGAAAGUGGACGUAUAGGGUGUGACACCUGCCCGGUGCCGGAAGGUUAAUUGAUGGGGUUAGCGCAAGCGAAGCUCUUGAUCGAAGCCCCGGUAAACGGCGGCCGUAACUAUAACGGUCCUAAGGUAGCGAAAUUCCUUGUCGGGUAAGUUCCGACCUGCACGAAUGGUGUAACCAUGGCCAUGCUGUCUCCACCCGAGACUCAGUGAAAUCGAAUUCGCCGUGAAGAUGCGGUGUACCCGCGGCUAGACGGAAAGACCCCGUGAACCUUUACUACAGCUUGGCACUGAACAUUGAACCUACAUGUGUAGGAUAGGUGGGAGGCUUUGAAGGCGUGACGCCAGUUGCGCUGGAGCCGUCCUUGAAAUACCACCCUUGUAUGUUUGAUGUUCUAACGCAGGCCCGUGAAUCCGGGUCGCGGACAGUGCCUGGUGGGUAGUUUGACUGGGGCGGUCUCCUCCCAAAGAGUAACGGAGGAGCACGAAGGUUGGCUAAUCCUGGUCGGACAUCAGGAGGUUAGUGCAAUGGCAUAAGCCAGCUUAACUGCGAGACGGACAGGUCGAGCAGGUACGAAAGUAGGUCAUAGUGAUCCGGUGGUUCUGAAUGGAAGGGCCAUCGCUCAACGGAUAAAAGGUACUCCGGGGAUAACAGGCUGAUACCGCCCAAGAGUUCAUAUCGACGGCGGUGUUUGGCACCUCGAUGUCGGCUCAUCACAUCCUGGGGCUGAAGUCGGUCCCAAGGGUAUGGCUGUUCGCCAUUUAAAGUGGUACGCGAGCUGGGUUCAGAACGUCGUGAGACAGUUCGGUCCCUAUCUGCCGUGGGCGUUGGAUGAUUGAAGGGAGUUGCUCCUAGUACGAGAGGACCGGAGUGAACGAACCUCUGGUGUUCGGGUUGUCACGCCAGUGGCACUGCCCGGUAGCUAAGUUCGGAAUCGAUAACCGCUGAAAGCAUCUAAGCGGGAAGCGAGCCCUGAGAUGAGUCAUCCCUGACCCUUGAGGGUCCUAAAGGGCCGUUGGAGACCACAACGUUGAUAGGUGGGGUGUGUAAGCGCGGCGACGUGUUGAGCUAACCCAUACUAAUUACCCGUGAGGCUUAACCAUACAACACCCAAGAAGUGUUCUG